CUGGAGGUAUCAGAAGUGCGAAUGCUGACAUAAGUAACGAUAAAGCGGGUGAAAAGCCCGCUCGCCGGAAGACCAAGGGUUCCUGUCCAACGUUAAUCGGGGCAGGGUGAGUCGACCCCUAAGGCGAGGCCGAAAGGCGUAGUCGAUGGGAAACAGGUUAAUAUUCCUGUACUUGGUGUUACUGCGAAGGGGGGACGGAGAAGGCUAUGUUGGCCGGGCGACGGUUGUCCCGGUUUAAGCGUGUAGGCUGGUUUUCCAGGCAAAUCCGGAAAAUCAAGGCUGAGGCGUGAUGACGAGGCACUACGGUGCUGAAGCAACAAAUGCCCUGCUUCCAGGAAAAGCCUCUAAGCAUCAGGUAACAUCAAAUCGUACCCCAAACCGACACAGGUGGUCAGGUAGAGAAUACCAAGGCGCUUGAGAGAACUCGGGUGAAGGAACUAGGCAAAAUGGUGCCGUAACUUCGGGAGAAGGCACGCUGAUAUGUAGGUGAAGUCCCUCGCGGAUGGAGCUGAAAUCAGUCGAAGAUACCAGCUGGCUGCAACUGUUUAUUAAAAACACAGCACUGUGCAAACACGAAAGUGGACGUAUACGGUGUGACGCCUGCCCGGUGCCGGAAGGUUAAUUGAUGGGGUCAGCGCAAGCGAAGCUCUUGAUCGAAGCCCCGGUAAACGGCGGCCGUAACUAUAACGGUCCUAAGGUAGCGAAAUUCCUUGUCGGGUAAGUUCCGACCUGCACGAAUGGCGUAAUGAUGGCCAGGCUGUCUCCACCCGAGACUCAGUGAAAUUGAACUCGCUGUGAAGAUGCAGUGUACCCGCGGCAAGACGGAAAGACCCCGUGAACCUUUACUAUAGCUUGACACUGAACAUUGAGCCUUGAUGUGUAGGAUAGGUGGGAGGCUUUGAAGUGUGGACGCCAGUCUGCAUGGAGCCGACCUUGAAAUACCACCCUUUAAUGUUUGAUGUUCUAACGUUGACCCGUAAUCCGGGUUGCGGACAGUGUCUGGUGGGUAGUUUGACUGGGGCGGUCUCCUCCUAAAGAGUAACGGAGGAGCACGAAGGUUGGCUAAUCCUGGUCGGACAUCAGGAGGUUAGUGCAAUGGCAUAAGCCAGCUUGACUGCGAGCGUGACGGCGCGAGCAGGUGCGAAAGCAGGUCAUAGUGAUCCGGUGGUUCUGAAUGGAAGGGCCAUCGCUCAACGGAUAAAAGGUACUCCGGGGAUAACAGGCUGAUACCGCCCAAGAGUUCAUAUCGACGGCGGUGUUUGGCACCUCGAUGUCGGCUCAUCACAUCCUGGGGCUGAAGUAGGUCCCAAGGGUAUGGCUGUUCGCCAUUUAAAGUGGUACGCGAGCUGGGUUUAGAACGUCGUGAGACAGUUCGGUCCCUAUCUGCCGUGGGCGCUGGAGAACUGAGGGGGGCUGCUCC
rnacentral:rRNA from 1 species